rnacentral:rRNA from 1 species
AUGGGGAUAUACGCUCUCACUACCAAUUUUGUUAAUGCCUCCUCGCGGAAGGCUUCCAUGAAAAGAGGAGGAUGGUCUAGCACCCCGACGGGAUUUGUUAAACUUAACGUUGAUGCUUCUUUUGACCAUGACCUUCUCAGGGGUACGAUUGGGGAUGUCUUAAGAGAUGACAAAGGUAGGUUCAUCGGUGGGGGAAAUGGUGAUCGAGACCAUGAACAAAGGAGGACGAUCAUCGGGGGCAGCAGCUGCAAUUUUUGA